rnacentral:rRNA from 1 species
CUGCCACGGCUUACCAUGCAAGUCGAACGCCCCGCAAGGGGAGUGGCAGACGGGUGAGUAACGCGUGGGAAUCUACCCAGUUCUACGGAACAACAGUUGGAAACGACUGCUAAUACCGUAUACGCCCUAAGGGGGAAAGAUUUGUCGGAAUUGGAUGAGCCCGCGUUGGAUUAGCUAGUUGGUGAGGUAAUGGCUCACCAAGGCGACGAUCCAUAGCUGGUCUGAGAGGAUGAUCAGCCACACUGGGACUGAGACACGGCCCAGACUCCUACGGGAGGCAGCAGUGGGGAAUAUUGGACAAUGGGCGCAAGCCUGAUCCAGCCAUGCCGCGUGAGUGAUGAAGGCCUUAGGGUUGUAAAGCUCUUUCAGUAGGGAAGAUAAUGACGGUACCUACAGAAGAAGCCCCGGCUAACUUCGUGCCAGCAGCCGCGGUAAUACGAAGGGGGCUAGCGUUGUUCGGAUUUACUGGGCGUAAAGCGCACGUAGGCGGUUUGUUAAGUCAGGGGUGAAAUCCCGGAGCUCAACUCCGGAACUGCCUUUGAUACUGG